rnacentral:rRNA from 1 species
CGGGACGGGUGAGUAAUGUCUGGGAAACUGCCUGAUGGCGGGGGAUAACUACUGGAAACGGUAGCUAAUACCGCAUAAUGUCUGCGGACCAAAGCGGGGGACCUCCGGGCCUCGCGCCAUCAGAUGAACCCAUAUGGGAUUAGCUUGUAGGUAAGGUAACGGCUUACCUAGGCGACGAUCCCUAGCUGGUCUGAGAGGAUGAUCAGCCACACUGGGACUGAGACACGGCCCAG